UUAACCGUUGGAUGUAUGUUAAUUUUGGAUAUGUUAUUCUAAUGAUGAUGAUGUAUAAUUCCACCGUUUGUAUUUAUUGAAUUCUAAAUUUACAGAAUGAUGUUUUAAGUUUGGUUUGAGAAAUAUUGAAUGAGAAUAUGAGGUUUAGCAUAAAAAGUAUGUUUUGGGACUAAGGAUAAUGGCAAUGGGUUUAAUGAUGAUGGUUGUGUUUGUGUUAUGUUUGAGUCAUGUUUGAUGUGUUGAUAAGUGAUGAUAUAGUUAAAUUCUAUAAAGAAUAGUGAUUGACUAAUACUUUGGUUGUGUUAGAAUGGGAAAUCAUGUUGUAAGUUGAAUUAUGAUAUAAGGAAUCAUUUUGAGUGUGCUUUUGGAAAAAUUUGGCAUGUGUAGUCAUUGAUGAAAUUUAAGUUAAAUUACAUUGUUUGGUGAUAGAUUAAAUGUCUUGGGACAAAAGAAAAUCGGUGACGAAAAGUCAUGCCCUUUGGACAUUGAAGAUCAUUGAUGAAAAAUUGAAUUAAAUGGGCGUUUAAUGUUAGUGUAAAUAAAUUCUAAUGUAAAUGAAUUUAAAUGACAAGUAAGAAAAUAAAAUACAUUCAUGGAAAUUGUUUACGGAAGUAUUCGAUUUUGUGAAUUUAUGAAUAUUAUGAAUAAAUCGGGAAGAUUCAAUAAUGAUUCAGGAUGUUAUAUUAAAAAUGUAGGAGAAGCAUUUACUCGACUUCUCAGGAGCUCGUAUAGUAGGAGCUUAAGGAGGGACUGCAAGAGGGGCACAACAACAACAAGGAAGAGCGAGUUGAGCUUCUGCAGCUGGAUGGAGGCAAAUAUCGUAUCGCUUGGGACGUGAGACUAGAAGUUCAUUAACCAUGGUCCUUCAGAUUCACGCCAGGAGUAGCGUUUUAAGUCCUCUAGUCUCCUUUUCUAUGAUUGAAUAAGAAGAUGAACAUUAAUGUAUUUUGUCUUUAAGGAACUAAAUGACUUAAUAUGUAAUAGUACUCGUUUUACAUUAAGUGUCGGACAUAAAAAUGUAUUAUUCUGUAUUUGUAAUCUUAGUUUGUUUACUUGCAAUUGUUAUGAAUUAUGUGUGUUAAUGGGAAAGAAAUGAGCAUGCGAAAUGUGAGGCAUGUACCAUGAA